UUUUGUUUUUAUAGAGGAGAUGAGGUCACUGCUUCAUCUGGGUCCCUUUGGAGGAGAAGAGGGAUCGAGAGACUGGAGAGAAGCUUGUGAUGGAUUUGUUUGGAAAGCUGGAACAGGGAAUGCCUACUCAUCUUCCACUACUUGUCAUCCUUCCUUAUCCUGUCCGUGGGACCACAUUUGGAAGCAGUGGAGGAGAGAGUUAUCAUUAUGACAAGCGAUCAGAAAAACAAACCACAGUGUAUGGUACAUCCUACAGGAAGAUGCUCUAAAAC